AUUGAACGCUGGCGGCAGGCUUAACACAUGCAAGUCGAGCGGGGAAAGGUAGCUUGCUACUGGACCUAGCGGCGGACGGGUGAGUAAUGCUUAGGAAUCUGCCUAUUAGUGGGGGACAACAUUCCGAAAGGGAUGCUAAUACCGCAUACGCCCUACGGGGGAAAGCAGGGGAUCUUCGGACCUUGCGCUAAUAGAUGAGCCUAAGUCGGAUUAGCUAGUUGGUGGGGUAAAGGCCUACCAAGGCGACGAUCUGUAGCGGGUCUGAGAGGAUGAUCCGCCACACUGGGACUGAGACACGGCCCAGACUCCUACGGAGGCAGCAGUGGGAAUAUUGGACAAUGGGGGGAACCCUGAUCCAGCCAUGCCGCGUGUGUGAAGAAGGCCUUUUGGUUGUAAAGCACUUUUAAGCGAGGAGGAGGCGCUCUAGGAUAAUACCCUAGAUGCGUGGACGUUACUCGCAGAAUAAGCACCGGCUAACUCU
rnacentral:rRNA from 1 species